CGUCUAUAUACGUAUAGCAUAUCAAUAAGCGGAGGAAAAGAAACUAACAAGGAUUCCCUUAGUAACGGCGAGUGAAGCGGGAAGAGCUCAAAUUUGAAAUCUUCAAGGUUCUACCUUGACGAAUUGUAGUUUAUAGAAGUGUUUUCUGUUAGUAGAGUGGCAAAAGUUCUUUGGAAUAGGACAUCAUAGAGGGUGAGAAUCCCGUAUUUGGUCAUUCUUUCUAGCUUUGUGAUACACUUCCAACGAGUCGGAUUGUUUGGGAAUGCAGUCCAAAAUGGGUGGUAAAUUUCAUCUAAAGCUAAAUACUGGCGAGAGACCGAUAGCGAACAAGUACCGUGAGGGAAAGAUGAAAAGAACUUUGAAAAGAGAGUUAAACAGUACGUGAAAUUGUCAAAAGGGAAGCGUUUGACACCAGUGUUGUUUUCUCGAAAAUCAAUUAAAAAUGGAUGGCAUGCUAGUGUAGUAUUGACUUCAUCAGCUUCUGCACUUAUUUUUGGUAUCUUUUUUAAUGCACUUUUCGUUUAACAAGUCAACAUCAAUUUCUUUUGUUGUAAAAGAGUCAUUGGAAGGUGGCUUUCAUUUCGGAUGAAAGUGUUAUAUAGCCUUUUACCUUCUGCAAUCGGAGAGAUUGAGGUCAUGCAGCGUAGACUCCUUCUGGGGUUAGAUACACUUGUGCUAAGUUAUAGCUUUGUCAUAGACAACAUGUUGACUAUGAUUAAGUCAUGUAGCUUACUCGCUUAUGCUAUUUUACCUACGCUUAGGAUGUUGACACACGCGCGUGCUCG
rnacentral:rRNA from 1 species